UACAGGGGGGGCAAGCGUUGUUCGGAAUUACUGGGCGUAAAGAGCUCGUAGGUGGUUUGUCGCGUUGUUCGUGAAAACUCACAGCUCAACUGUGGGCGUGCGGGCGAUACGGGCAGACUAGAGUACUGCAGGGGAGACUGGAAUUCCUGGUGUAGCGGUGGAAUGCGCAGAUAUCAGGAGGAACACCGGUGGCGAAGGCGGGUCUCUGGGCAGUAACUGACGCUGAGGAGCGAAAGCGUGGGGAGCGAACAGG
rnacentral:rRNA from 1 species